CCCAAUAGCAAAAGAAGUUAAUUCACAUAAAAUUUCCUUUGAAUUGAAAUUUAAUAAAAAACUAUCUGAAACAAAGGACCAAUCACGGAAGGUAAAAUUCAGAGAUGAUUUUAGAGAAAUAAAAAGUUUUUAAAAGACAGGAGUUUCUGAGCCCACGUCUUAUACGAGGAUCGUUUGUAAGGAAGAAAACAACGAUUCUCGAGAGUCGAAAGAAAUGUUGCUAAGGAAUUUACCAGCCGGAAAAUCAACUCUUGUAUGUUACUGCCAACUCAAAAUGCUUGAGAGUUUUUCAGAGAAAUAAAAUACAGCGACAGUAGAUGAGCAAAAAAUUAUACGAAAAUAACUGGAGAUGAUGCUCGAGUUGAAGAUGGAGUUUAAGAAAAAUUUGUAAAUCAGAUUGCAAAAUAAGCCGAGCUCGAGGAAUUUUUAACCAGCCAUUUUUAUACAUUCCGACUGUAUGUUUUAAGACUAUAUAAAUAUAUGUACGUAUAUAUUUGUAUGUUUAUUUAUACAUAUAUUUAUAUGGGCAUUUGUAAUCCUUCGAAUACUAAUUUUAUGCCUCGGCUGUUGGG